rnacentral:rRNA from 1 species
AGUGAACGCUGGCGGUAGGCCUAACACAUGCAAGUCGAACGGCAGCACAGGAGAGCUUGCUCUCUGGGUGGCGAGUGGCGGACGGGUGAGGAAUACAUCGGAAUCUACUUUUUCGUGGGGGAUAACGUAGGGAAACUUACGCUAAUACCGCAUACGACCUACGGGUGAAAGCAGGGGACCUUCGGGCCUUGCGCGAUUGAAUGAGCCGAGGUCGGAUAAGCUAGUUGGCGGGGUAACGGCCCACCAAGGCGACGAGCCGUAGCUGGUCUGAGAGGAUGAUCAGCAACACUGGAACUGAGACACGGUCCAGACUCCUACGGGAGGCAGCAGUGGGGAAUAUUGGACAAUGGGCGCAAGCCUGAUCCAGCCAUACCGCGUGGGUGAAGAAGGCCUUCGGGUUGUAAAGCCCUUUUGUUGGGAAAGAAAUCCAGCUGGCUAAUACCCGGUUGGGAUGACGGUACCCAAAGAAUAAGCACCGGCUAACUUCGUGCCAGCAGCCGCCGUAA